UACGGGGGGGGCAAGCGUUGUUCGGAAUUACUGGGCGUAAAGGGCCAGUAGGCGGCCAACUAAGUCCGACGUGAAAUCCCCAGGCUUAACUUGGGAACUGCGUCGGAUACUGGAUGGCUUGAAUUCGGGAGAGGGAUGCAGAAUUCCAGGUGUAGCGGUGAAAUGCGUAGAUAUCUGGAGGAAUACCGGUGGCGAAGGCGGCAUCCUGGACCGACAUUGACGCUGAACGGCGAAAGCUAGGGGAGCAAACGUG
rnacentral:rRNA from 1 species